CUUUCUUCCUUUUGGUGCGAGCUUGCUGUGGUUUUUGCUCUGGGUCCUCUGGGAUGGCGCCUGGCUGUGGCCGCGUGGUCUCUCACGCAGGGGCGCCGGGCGGGGGAACGCGGCCACCCUGAGUCUGGUGAGUCGACUGCGGCGGCCUGUGUCCGAAGUGUCCGGGGCCGUGAACAAGGGCAGCGGCCUGGCCUCAGGCCUGCGUUCCCACGUUUGGAAACGGGGAGCUUCGUCGAUUUGUGUUUACAUCAUCGACUAUGCCAGGGAGUUCUCCAGAUAAGCCUGGUUUUAUUUUCGUCAGUGAAAAGGCCUUACCGUAUAACUGACUUUAUGCUUGCCCUGCCCCCGUAUAAAAUAACUUAAAAGCAGCGUGCCUGGUUACAGCUGUUUCCACGUGCGGUGCUCGUCGGGAGUGAUCACCUACCCUACAGGUGGAAGAUGGAUGCCUGAAGUGUAGACUGCUGCUAGCUGAAUACCAUCUGGGAGCAUAAAGGUGACCUGAAGGUAGGGUGAUAUGUCUUAAAGCACUUUGUAAUGGGAAUUUUUAUCACCUUUUAAAUUGGGGUUCCUUCUCUAGUGAGUUUUAAUGUCAGUGGUACAUUCGUAGUGUUGCUCUGUCUGUAGCUAUUAAGGUGAGUUAAUAAAUGGGAUAGCCUCCACAGCUUAUUUUUGGGAAGGUUUUGCUGAUACUUCCUGAGAAGCCCAGGGAAAUAAAUACGCAUAGUACUGGCAUUCUGCAUCUCUUUAAGAUUUGUUUUUAUGUGUAGUAAUUGAGUUUUUUAAAAGCUUGUGAAAUCGCAGGCAUAUUACCAAGUUCUUGAUUAAAAUGUAAUACAAAAAUAUUUGCUGUCGAAUUGAGUACUUUAUUUUUUCUCUUAGGAUGUCCUUGGUGAGGAUUUUGAAAAUUUGAUCUUCACAAGAGUUGCCUGGAUCAUUUGAAAUUUCUGGGAGUCUGAGGAGUACUGACAUAAUUACCUGCUGGAGUCUGUAAAUACACAUUUAAGACAGUGAGGAUGUGAAUAAAUAUAUUA
rnacentral:lncRNA from 1 species